rnacentral:lncRNA from 1 species
UGGAUAAGAAAGGCAUUGUAUUUGCUGUUGGCACCUCGCCCAGAUCAUCCACCAGGCAGGUGCGUCCAUCCCUAGCUGCUGAGUGUUGACUGCCAAGUCCUCACAGUGACCCCUUUUCUGGGACACUGACUCUUUCUGAAUAGGACUGGACUCAUCUGUGAGAUGGGGCGACCCUCCCUCACUGGAGCCUGUAGCCAAUGGCUGACUGACAUAGGACUACAAAAAGCUGGCAUCCUGGCCUCAAGGUGAUACUCCAGCUGAGGCCACCUCCUUGUUCAGCUCGUCCCCUGCUCCAUUCUUCUUCCCUCCUUUUCUCCUGAGAUCACUUUCUUAAUCAGCCACCUGCAGAAGAACCCCCAUCUCAGGUUCCACUUUUAGGGAGCUCAACUUCAGACAGGAUUGGGUAAGAAAUUGGGGAAAAGGCAAUAUGAAUCCCAGUUUUCCUUUUGGGUAAGUGGGUGGCUGGAUGUGCUGAACACCGAGUAGAGGAGGCUUAGAAGAGGAUGAGGUUUGUGAGAGCAGAGAAGCUCAGUUUUGUUUACUGGAGAAGCAGAUGUCAUAUCCAGGAAGCAGCUGGAUACCUGCGGGUCUGCAGCCAGGAGAGAGCUCUAAAUGUUGUCACCAAACGUGACUAAAUGACAGCUGAAACCCUGAAGUUGGCGAGGAAGAAAUCAUGGAGAAAAACAGAGUGGUCUCAGGAUGAACUUGGAGGAAUGUGAGCAUUAUACACACAGCCAGGGGCUCCAAGGAUGGCCGAUGAGGAACAGUGUCUGAAGUAGUGUUUCCCAAAGAGUCACCCCUCUGGCUAUGUGCAAAUCCAUGGUUCAGACUCCAGACUGUGGAAUCAAAGUUUCUGGAGAUGAAUGUCAGUGCCACAAAUGACCACAGACCACCCCACCCCUGGUUGCUGCUGGCUUUGGAUUGGACUUUUAGUGAACAAGAAAUAAAUUUUUAUUGUCUCAAGUCAUGGAAAUCUUGGGAUUUGUCUAUUACACCAGUCAGUUUUACCUUAACAAACAUACUUGCAAUCUCCAUUAGACAUAGAGAAUAUUUGUGCUCAUUUGCAUGAUGAGAUGAUUUCUUUCCUUGUGUAAAUGGUGACCAGAUGACAACAUUUCUCACAACUGUUGAUAAUGUCAUCUGCCUUCAGUUACUAAUGGUUGUCAUUAGGGUGAAGCUAACUGUCUCAGUUCAAAUGUUACCUCUUUACAAAGGCUCUCCUGGCCUCUCUAUUCAAAGUAUUCUACAACUCACACUCCAGGUAGUUUUAUCCCAUUAAUAAUUUCAGUGGAUGUAUUAGUCUAUUUUCAUACUCCUGAUAAAGACAUAUCCAAGAAUGGGAAGAAGAAGAGGUUUAAUGGACUUACAGUUCCAUGUGGCUGGGAAAGCCUCACAAUCAUGGUGGAAGGCAAGGAGAGGAG